rnacentral:rRNA from 1 species
GUGGGGAAUAUUGGGCAAUGGGCGAAAGCCUGACCCAGCAACGCCGCGUGAAGGAAGAAGGUUUUCGGAUCGUAAACUUCUAUCCUUGGUGAAGAUAAUGACGGUAGCCAAGAAGGAAGCCCCGGCUAACUACGUGCCAGCAGCCGCGGUAAUACGUAGGGGGCAAGCGUUUUCCGGAAUGACAGGGCGUACAGGGCGCGUAGGCGGUCUGGUAAGUCUGGAGUGAAAGUCCUGCUUUUAAGGUGGGAAUUGCUUUGGAUACUGUCGGGCUUGAGUGCAGGAGAGGUAAGUGGAAUUCCCGGUGUAGCAGUGAAAUGCGUAGAGAUCGGGAGGAACACCAGUGGCGAAGGCGACUUACUGGACUGUAACUGACGCUGAGGCGCGAAAGUGUGGGGAGCAAACAGGAUUAGAUACCCUAGUAGUCC